UCGCCUUUAGAUUUGGGAGCACCGCCAGAAGCCGCCAUAGCCAUCUACCGCCGCCGUCCCCGCUUAGCACCCGUGGUGCGCUCCCGGACAACUCGACGGUGGUGUGGACCGUGUCUAGGGGAAAUUGGGCGCGUGGAACCUCUGUGUGGAGGGAAUUGCUCGCUGGCCCUUACUAUCCGCCGUCAAGCCGCCCCGCUUCGUGGGCAGUCUCGUCAUCAAGCCAAUUGUGAGUACAAACCUCCUACCUGGAUCUACCGUCGUCCUAGCUUUAUUUGGCACCUAGCGUCUCGGGUAAUGGCGCACCGUAUGUCAUCGGAGGGUCUCCUAGCCAUGGCGCGCCGACGCGGCCUCACUGUUGGUCACCGACGUUCAACCGGGAGGAGGAAGACGCGAUUUGGGCCGUCGAUCGCGCGAUAUGGGGCUAGGAUUACAUUAAAUGUAACGAUUCGGUCGGAUGUGCCAUGUGCCGUCUGAUCCUGAUCGAGCGGGCGAGAGUUGGUUUUAGGGUUUUUAAAUCUGGAACGUCAUAUUUGUAUCGAUCGGCUGGUAUCGUGUACCGGUUCGCAGGGAGCUUAUCUAAUCUAUGACGUUCCUUUUAGAUCGGGCGGCUCUAGGUGACUGGUGCCCUUCGGCCGAUGCAAAAUAACAAAAGAGCCCCUCUAAAAUCUUGAAAACAACUCGCGGUCCACAUAGAUGGGUUCUGAGUCUAGGGAAUUUUGCGCAGGAGCCCCUGUGCUUUCAGUUAUUCAUGCACGCAGACUGAGGAAAUUAGAAACCCGGGAAAUUAAAGCAGAAAAGGCUUUUCUUAUGUAAAAAUAAAUCCAGAAAUUGUUUAAUCCCUAGAAAAUUCAUAUUAAGUCCAAAUUGGUCCAUUCUAGUUUCUAUAAUUUUGUGAUAAUGUUGUUCAUCACAUAAUGUCUUUGUUUUGACAUGAAAAUUGUAUUAAAAUUUAUCUCUUAAUUAAUCUUGUAUCAAGCACAUAAAACCUUUGGAAAUUCAUAACUUAAAAUUCAUAACUCCAAAUUUAAUGAUUCUUUUUCCUGUGAUCUUAUUUUAAUAUGUAGAUUAUUAAUAUGUAUUUUGUAUACAUGUUUGGUGUGAUGUUAGUUUCCUCUUUAUACUAUGCUUGUUUGUAUUGUGGCGAGUAGAAGAGCCAGCAGCUGAGGAUCCGGGUGUUCAGCAGGUAGAAGUUGCUGAACAGGAGCUCGUUGAAGGCAAGUUGUGCCCUUGACCACUUUUAUUACCCAAUAAUGUUCUUUAUAAUCAUUUAUUCCUGCAUAGGUUUAAUUUUGAUGGGACCCAAUUGGUCACCCUAGACUGGUUAUCCUUUUACCUUGUUCACCCCUGAAUCAUUUGGGUAGUUUUGCUAUUGCUCUAUUUGGUUUUGGGAUUAAUAUUACAUUAUGUCCAUGUUCCAAUUAUUCUGUUAUUUUAUUUAUUAUUCAUGUCAAGAUCAUUAUUUUUAAUUGGAACAUGGAGCUUAACUUGAGAAACACGUGCCACCACAAGGGUGGAAUGGGACGUCCUUGGCUGACUAACUAGGAAAGCUAGUGGAGGACUACCUUACCCGAUAGGGGCAAGGGCAAUAGGGGAGUAGGCGUGUAGGGAGGUUCCCGGGUAGAUUUUCUGCGAUGGCAGUCAGACGGGGAUUCCUGCAUUGCUCUUCCUAGAACUGUAGCAGGUUUUCUAAAGCUAGUGGAACUUUGUAAAGGCCUCGUAGUGUUACCCUGCCUCGCUUCCUUGGUAGAGGUGUAUAGGAGUCGCGAUCCCUUGGAAGAUGGGUAACAUGACUUGUGGGUACAGGGUACAACCACUGUAGAGUGUAAAACUGGUAUACUAGCCGUGCUCGCGGUCAUGAGCAGCUCAGGACUCUCGCAUGAUUAAACUAUGAAACUAAAUUCAAUUUGUCAUUCGCAUUGCAUGGGAUUUAUUAUUAAUUUUGUUCUAUUAUUUCUAUUAUGGUUUAGUAUUUAUUUACAUCUAGUAAUUUCUAAUAAAAUUUGACCAACCUAUUAAAAGCAAUGCUCAGCUUUAACCCUAUUGUUGAUCAGCCUUACACAUCACAUGAACUCCCACCUUUGGUGGGUUCAUGCACAUUAUUCCCCACGAUUUGUUGAGAUAUGAUCUUUUGUGAGCUCACACUUGCGAUAUAUAAACCCCCACAGGAGAAGAACAGGUGGCCUAGGAGGAGCCGCACAACGAGGAGUUUGACUUGAUCUAGGUGACGUCUCCCAGUCGACUUUAUGACGCUAAGGAUGGACUUUAGUUCGCUUUAUAUUUAUCUUUUAUUUUCAUAAUACUUCCGCUAUACAAUAAUUACGUUUAUGAUAUUGUGACAUUUAUCUCUAUACACUAUGUUAUUAUGUGUGUUGUUCUUCUUUGGCGCACAUAUGAGAUGCACCCGGCUUUAUCCCUCAAAUCCGGGUGUGACACAUUGGCUGUUUUAAGGACUUAUUGAUCAUUACUUCACCUCAUCCUUGAUGCUGUUUCAGAAUAUUAGUCACCUCGACUAAUUCUAUGUGCUCCUAUAUGCCCCCUUGCUAAAAGUAUUUUAUUCUAGUAUGGUCCAUACUUUUCUCAACCUAUUAGAUCUAAUCUCACUCUUGUGCUUGCAACAUCUUUAUAGAUGCCCCUGACCAUAACCUUCUAGCCUUUUGGGAUUCAUUUCUCUUCCAUUGUUAAAUUGCUACCAUUUGACCAUCUCUAUUCCCUUGGUAUUGACAUGCUCGUAUCCCUAAAUUCUUCAAUACUCUUGUUUCAAAUGCUUACAUCAGAAUUUCUACUGCCUACUUAAACAUUUCAGUUUAUAUAUCCAUGAUCGUUUAUCCAUGAUCUUCAUGUCUUUUGAGACCCUUUCCUAUUCCGUUGUUAGGUCGUUAUCUUUCAGCAAUUUCCAAUUCCUUGGUCUUGAUGUGCUCGUGUCCUUGGAGUCUUGCAUAUUCUCAUAUUUUUUAUGGAUGCUUGUCUUCAUACCCCAAAAUGUUUGUUUAAGACAUUUUAGUUAUCAUGCCCUUGACCACCCUUGCUUAUUACUGGUCCAUGCGCGACCAUUCUAUUUCUGACAUCCUUGAAGAUCUCAUCAUUUCCUUAUAACUUCCCUUCGUAAUAAUUUAUGUUACUUCAACCAUUCUGUUGGAACCUUAGCUAUCUCACCCUUGAUUGUCUUAUCCACUUUGCCACUUCAUGAGUCUUGCCUUAACUCUAUCCUUAGCUAUCUCACGAUUAUCAUCUUUACCCUUGUCACCUCUAUAUCUUACCUUGAUGCUUAUAUUAUACCCGUCCUUUAAAACCUUCUCUCUUCCAUCUCAAUUUUAUAGUUGUAUUUUACCUAUUUUCCCUUGGUCAUAUCCUCUUCCUUGUCGCUUGCGAGUUUUAAACUCCAUCCUUUGUUGUGUUUCGGUUGGGUAUUACAUUUACCUUUCUCAUCUCUCGAUCUUACCUUGGUGAUUACACUAUGUCCGUUCUCUAAAAUCUCCAAUCUCCUAUCCCGAAUUUGAGGGCGGUGUUCUACUUAUCUUACCCUUGGUAAUAUCAUCUUCUUUACCGCGUGAAAGCCUGGACGUAACUCCAUUUUUUGUUGUACACAUACUGCUGGCUCUUCAAUGCCUUCAUCUUUUCUCUCAUACCCUUGUCUAUUAUCGCCUUUGACCCUUGCGAUAUUGAUGUCUUCUACCUGAAUGCUUACCUUGAACUUAUCCUUUAAAAGCCUCCCCUUUCUUUCAACCCAGUUUGAGAGCUGUGAGUUACCUAUCUCUCACUUGAUUUCUUUUCACUCCUUGUCGCCUUACAAGUUUUGUCCUAAUUCCAUCCCUUUUGCUGUGUUUUUAUUUGCUAUCACCCUCACCUUGUCAUCCAUCGAUCUUGCCUUGAUAUUCAUCUUUAUUCCUACUCUUUAAAGAUUUCCUCUAUUCCACCUCAAUUUGAGAGUGGCAAUUUACCUAUCUGGCCCUUGGACGUACCCUCUCAUUUUCCACUUGCAGAUCCUGUCUUAACUCCAUCCUUUGUGGCACUUAUAUCAUUGGUUCUUAUGCCCAUUUACCUCCCCUUCUACAUCGUUGUUCGUUAUCACCUUUAAACCCUCGUGAUAUCUAUGUCCUUACCUUCAUGAUUAUUUUGAACCUACCCUUUAAAGCCUUCUCUUUUCCAUCCCUGUUUGAGGAUAAUGCCUCACCUACUUCAACAUUGACUGCUCCCCCUUCUUUGACGUCUUGCAUGUUUUGUCUAAAAUACAUCCUUGUUGUCUACUUGCCCGUUAAUACCCUCACCCUUGUCAUCCCUCGACCAUUACCCUGAUGCUUAUCCCGUACCAGCAUUUUAAAGCCUCCUCUCUCCCAUUUCAGUUCGAGAAUGUUGUUUUACCUAUCACGCCCUGGAUUGUUUUGUUUUCUUUGUCGCUUUGCAAGCCUUGUAUUACACUAGCUCCAUCUUUUGGUGGUGCUUUGGUUUGUUAUCACCCUUACCUUUGUAGUCCCUAUAUUGUACCUUGAUGCUUAUCUUAUGUCUGCCUUGUGAAAUCUCCUCUUUUCCAUCUCAAUUUGAUAGUGGUGUUAUACCUAUCCUGCCCUUAGUUGUAUCCUCUUCCUUGUUAAUUACAAUUCAUGCUUUGGUUUCAUCCUUUCUGGUGCUCAUGCCCCUAUUCUUCAUGCCUUAUCAUCCCCCUUGCCUUUCGAUGGCCUUAGAGUAGUUUCCCCUUGAUAAGGAAAGACCACCAUCUAGCUAACAUUAACGUAUAGCAACAAAAUGUUUGUUGUUGUAUGCUUGUGCUGGUUGUCUUUGUGUUAUGACUGAUUUGCUUCUUUGCGAUGAGUGUUGACGUGUUGUGGCCCUUGGUUUGCAAUGACAUCAAUUAACUAGGUGAGUAUCAUAUAGUUAGGUAGUUGGGUUCUCUCCCCUUCUUUCUUGAAUCCAUCUAUGCUCACCUUUUCUAUCUAUACCCUUUCCUCUUGCACCUGUCCAGUUGGCAACCUCCGACAUCUCUUAAUCAGUCAAGAUCAGAGUUGGCAACAUCUUCAUCAAGUGCGUAUCAACGCUCCUGUUAAGGGGGUUAGCUGCUAACCCCAAUGAAGACAAAUGCGAUCAACAUCAAACAACAAGAUCAGAGUGGCAUAGCAGAAGUGUGUGUGGGUCCUAACCCACAGGUCCUAGGAUCCGCAAGAAUUGUCUCAGUUGGUCAUGAACAUAUGAAGGUCAAAGAAGCCAGUCCGCAAGUUAAGCUUGCAGAGUCAAUGUCAACUCAAGAAAGUCGUGGACAACGUAUGAACCAACCUUGUCGUUCUUGCUAGCCUCUUCUUGAAUCUCAGGGGCAAGAUUCUGUUAAGGGGGUUAGAUUUGUAACACCCUUAAUUUGGGGUAUAAAAUUCCUUUUCCGAUAUCCACCAAAUUCAGGUGUUACCCUCUCCUUUACCUGCUUUUCUUCUCUUUUUCCUAAAUAAUGGAGAGUUAUUUUAUUAUAUAUAUAAGUUCUUAACUUAGUAAAAUUAAAUCCUAGAGAAGCUUUGAUUGUUACAUUCAUGCCAUUGCAUAAUGUUUAUAAGUGCAAAGGUCUUCGAAACAUAACAAAUUAUCUUGUGAAUGUUUCUAAGAAUUUUUGUGAGCCUUUAAAUUAUUUCCCACGUGUCAUACAUGAAUAUCAUUCUUUUUCGAGAAUUAACUAAAAAUAUUCUGGAAACCCAAUAAUAGAUAUUUACCUCUCUCAUCGAAUUUGUUCUAGAUCUCGUGUCAUUUUCACGAGAUCGCCAAACCUCCUUUUCCACUCGCAAACGGCGAACUGCUCGCAUCUGCCCCGCCGUCUAUCCAGGCGAUUACCCUCAUUUGCCCUAGCAUCUAUCCCUGUCUACCUCCAUCAACUCCACCUCGCCUCGUCCAAGCAAACAUCAUCACACGUGCAACCGCCUCUCUCGCUCGGUCAUGACGUGAUCCACUGUAAAUUUGACAACCACCUCUCGCUCCCUCUCCUUUUUAUAUAUACACACCCCCAUGUUGUGAACAUUGUCUUCCUCCUCUCACAUGCAGUAUCACGCCAUCCACCCCGCGCCCUUUCUCCCAUGCACUACACCAUGGUGGGGGGAGCCCUCGUUCAAGCGGCAUCAUCUUCCUCGCAUCCGCUCCGCCAACCGUCAUUUAGCCUGCGUAGGUGAGGAACCGCCUUCUUCUUCCUCUCUCCCAUGCCCUUCUUUGCGUUUCCAUGGUCGAGGCCCGUGGACGAGCCGUCCAGCCACUCCCCAGUGCGGUGGCGCCCCCCCCUCGGGUCCCUGCAGGCGCACAUGGGCGCUAUUGAGGCCAGCCGGCGUGGCGGCCCAACGAGUAGCCAGCGCUGCGCACGCAUCGGCCAGCCUCGGCCGAGCCUCCCCUGCCACGCCACGCCACUCGCAUGGUGCUGCUGUGUCGCCACAAGCCAUGGCCUCGUGCCCUACUGCGCUGCACGCCGCUCAGCCCCGACUCCGGCGAGCAGAUGCCACCGCCGUAGAGCCGCCAUCGUCGGCGCUGCAUCCGCUUCGGUAGGCGAUUCCCCUGCUGUAGCCGUUCGUGCAAUAGGGAAUAGGGAAAAAAGAAACCGCCUGUGGGCCCUACCCACAAGCAUGCACCAUGCCUCCGUGAAUCCUGUGAUCGCAUGUGACCAAGCCAAGGAACCGCUCCACACAUGCAGAGAAAAUGUGGCCACGUGGCAGCUCCCGGUUGGCCCGUGCAUGGCUGUGGCCACACCGGAUCUCACCUCCACGAUCCACUGUGGCCACAUCGGUUAGCGAUUCGAGCAUAUCGUCGCACUGUUCGAGCGUCGUCCACGCGUGUCGCGCGUGCUGUUUUGCAUGGCGCGCGUGCUGUUCGCGCACGUCGUAACGCGUCGUUCGCGCGCUGUUUCACGCAUUGUCGCGUUUCGCGCGCGAUAUUUAACCGUUCGCUUAUAAUCACUUAUGUAAGUUAAUUAACUACUCGUUUAAUCGUCCACUAUAAAAAUAGUAAAUUAGUCAAAACUAAGUAGUUUUAAUUUAUAUUUCAUAAAUGUCAAUUAUUAUAAUUACGUCGAAUCUAAUGUUUUAACUAUUACUGGUUUAGCGUAAACGCGAUAACUUCUCGACCGUAGCUUCGACUGUUGCGUUUCUUUACGUCGCGUGACCAUAGUAGCGAGCUCUAUUUUUGCAUGUUUUAUUAUGUUUUCUUUGAAUGGUAUAAUGUUUUUAUGCAUAUAUAUAUAUGUUUGUUUGCUUGUGCAUAUUCGUCUUCGCUUCGCGUUGCGAUUAGAUCGCGAUACGUUUCCAAGCUUCGAGGAAUCGACAAUCAAGCUUCGGCGACCAAGUGGUCAGGUUCUUCGAGUUCUACAAAGUUGA
rnacentral:lncRNA from 1 species